AUGCUUCUUGGACAGGAAGAAGUGCACAACAACUACAGAGCUUUGUUUUUAGAAAGAAGAUGUGGUCAAUUCUGAAUAAACAUUUUACCUGUAAUGUAACAUUACUCUUUUACGUUCCUCUCGUGGUAAAAUUCAAAAGAAAGUGGUUGUAUGCAGAAUGAACACAGAGUGGCAUAAAAGUCGCCAUUUUUGAAGAUCUCUCAGACUGGAUUGCUGCAGAGAUAAAGAGUUAAAGAUGAAGUGUCUCGUCCUUUUGCUACUGCUUGGUGCAGUCUUUUUAGCGUCUACGAACGCUCGGAGAUACGAAGAAGCCAAUGACGAGAAUGCAGACCUUGAACAAAAUGAGAGCAAGGAGAUGGAUGAAUUAGAAAGCACUGCUCAGACAGCGAAAGAUCCAAUUUUGCUCCUUUCCCGUCGCCGUUCAACCUCUGGAGAUCCAUUUCCUCAGCCAAAUGUGCAUCGUCGUUUCUAUGUCCGCCGUCGUUCCAAUGUCCGCCGCCGUUCCUAUGUCCUCCGUCGUCGUUCCAAUGUCCGCCGCCGCCGUUCCUAUGUCCGCCGUCGUCGUUCCAAUGUCCGCCGUCGUCGGGCAUUCAUGUAUGUCCUCCGUCGUCAUCCCUUUAAUGGUUAAAUGUUCGUCCGCUAGCAUUUUGGACACGGUCACUUGACAUUUUCUCUUUUUUUGCUCUGUAACUACAGACAUGCUUUUAAAUGUCUUAUGUAUUAUUAAUUUGUAUGCUUGCUUUAUAAAUAUAUGUUAAUCUUGGAAAGUUUCUUGUUUAAAAUCGGACUAACUUUUGCAUUGGUGUCGCUUU